rnacentral:rRNA from 1 species
UACAGAUGUCCCAAGCGUUGUUCGGAUUCACUGGGCGUAAAGGGUGCGUAGGCGGUCGGGUAAGUCUGAUGUGAAAUCUCACAGCUUAACUGUGAAACUGCAUUGGAUACUAUCCGGCUCGAGGAAUGGAGGGGAGACUGGAAUACUUGGUGUAGCAGUGAAAUGCGCAGAUAUCAGGAGGAACACCGGUGGCGAAGGCGGGUCUCUGGGCCGUAACUGACGCUGAGGAGCGAAAGCGUGGGGAGCGAACAGG